GAAUGAAAGUGGAGGUUGAGGAUAAAUUUACCAUGUCAAGAGUGUGGGACUUGUAGAAUACCAUUGGAUCUGACUCUUCUCACUGAGGAGAUUAGUAGAAGGGUACAUAUUAAUGGCUACAUUUGUAAGUCUCGAGGACAUGCCAAGGUUCUCAUCUUUAGAGAUGUGAUUUACAUGGAGUUGGUUGUACACAUCACAUCCUUAAUGAUGUGAUUCACCUCAAUACACUCAAUUGACAUUUUGCAUGGUUACCCUAAUUGACAAUUUUUUUGGGCAAUGACACAUUUUUUGUGCUCUGCACAAUGUGAAACACACAAAGAAGCUAUGUAACAGAGGACUCUCUAUUUUCUAAAGAGGAGCUAUGUAAGAAAGGGCACUCCCAUCUCAUUUCACGGAUGCCCCAUGGGUCAAUGCAAAACUUGUCCCAAGUUGAUGACCUUAUGCUGCAUCAAGCCUCCAUGGCCCUAAGGCUUGAAAAAUUACAGAGAGAUUGGUGAGGAAUAGGAGAGAGGCAGGUACCGCAUAAUCAAAUGCAGUGAGGUGCAAAGAAGUAAGAAGGCUGGCUUGGGGUGGGGAAGAUUAGGGGGAACGAACUGGAGCCUUCUCAGCAAGAUUUGGUGAAAAGGAAAGCGACUUCUGGAGUGUGGUUGGCAACAAUGGGAAGGAGAAUGGUGGGUGGUAUGAAAGUGGGGAAACUGCUUGGGAGUGUAGAGGAAAAGCAUUCAAAAUGGUGGGAUUUACAUGGAGAAAAUUUUGGGAGAUCUUCAAGGAAGGACUGAUCUUUUAAAAGUGAAAACAGAGACAAGGUGAGAUUUUGGAAGAUGUGAGUGAGUAAUGAAGCACUCGCAUGGAGCAGCUCCAUAAAAGGCUCACUGGGUGAGGAAGCUUGAAAAAUUGCAGAGCGACCUUUAUUUGGGAAUGAAGAGGAGAGAGACAAGUUCCAUGGUCUUAGUCUUAGUCUUAGUCUUUGUAGAGUGUUGUCCUUAAAAGGGGUCAUUGGUUGAGGAUUGCUGCAAAGUCUUGGGAGGCAAACUAAUGGUGUAACUUCACUUUUAAAAUACAUACUUAAAGAGGAUGUAUAAGUGGGGCCUUUCACUCUCUUGUUGGGUUC